GAUUAUUAUUAUUAUUUUGAAAUGGUAUGAUGAUGGUGGUGUGGUUGAUGGAGGAGAUGAGAUAUUCUAAGAGGAAUUCCUGAAAAGAUAAGCAGAAGCAGACGGAAAAGAGCAGUUGGAGAUGGGAAAAAUGGAAGGGGAGGUUCGUGAAUCGGGACAGAACAAGCUAUUAAAAGCACCAUUUUUCGCCGGUGAGAUCUAAGAAAGAAAGCAAAAUUUCCUCUGCCGUGGUAUCCUGGCCGAUGUGACUACUAAGCUUUCCGUGGCAGAUCGAUGCGAUGGGAUAGGAUGGGAAUGGCUCCAAAAUUUCGCCUAAAAUCCCCAAUUACAGGUCACAUCACUUCAAUUUCUAACUCACUUUACUGUUCAUUCCGUAUUUCCCACACCCUAAUUUCCCCAACCCUACUUUUUCUUUCAAGAUAUAUAUCAUAUAUGUGAAUACCAACCAUAAUGGUUAUUACAUUUUCUCUUUAUAUAUGAUAAUACAUUUAGUAUUCUGUGAUAUGAGGAUAAGUAGCGAUCAAAUAAUUGGUGUCCGUAAAAGGAAAGGAUGGAGAUGAAUUGGAGAGAGUUGCUAGACUCGGAAGUUGGAACUCAUUCUAUGAAUGUGGUAUUAGAUAUUUAAUAUAUUGACUCACGCAGGGUACUAUAUAGUACCAGGCAUUGAUCUUUUCUUCUGCAACAGCAUCAGAAAUUACCAAUAAAAUGAGAUUUUCAAAAAAGAGUUUGUUGUAAAGAAGUUGGAGGUGGGCUACAGCCAGAAGUUAGCAAAAACGAAGGUAGAAAGAAAAGAGAGCAUGGUAGAAGUAGAACUAGAAAGAAACAGAAUAAGGUGGUGAAGUGGAGACUUCUUCUCUCUGUCUUUAAUUUUUUUUCUUAAUUGUUUACCGGGUUGGCAGAAUGGCUGGUUUGUCUGCUUCUUUUCUAGUUUGGCGCCCAAAAUGGGUAAAUACAGGCAAUGUUAAGUCUUUUCUGUAUGUCAAAUCUUCCAGUCCUUUCAUAUUUCCCUUUUCUCCACUGCUUUAGAUUUCAUCAAUCAUCCAAAUCCACUCCUCUCCCGUCAUUUAUUGGAUCUCUCAAUUCGUUUCUUUCCUUUAAUUUCCUUUGUUUUAUGAUCUUUUUGGUUAGAGAGUGUUCAUCUUUUUAAGAAAAAUACAUAAAGGUUGUCUGAGAGGUGUUUUCUCGACUUUUUUUUUUUUUUUUGGAUUUAGUGAAGAAAAUAUCAGGAGAAGUAUGUGCAGGUAGAUAUUUUAGAGCUUGUUUUGUUUUGUUUUCUGAAGGAGUGCCUUUGUUUUUAGAAUUAUUGAAGGUGAUGUGAUUUGAAAAUUAAACCAUAUGAAAUUAUAUGUGAUUUGUGAUUUCAAGUAAUUGCAAUGACAUAAUAUAAUCUUAACUUUAUGGUGGCCAUCUAUUUAGAAUUUAACAUUCUACAAGAUUUUUUUACACCUAAAUAUUAUAAGAUCGGAUAGAUUGUCCUAUACACAACCAUUUACAUUAAACAGAAAUAUAAACUUGGCUUCUGAAAUUGUUUUUUGCUUUUUGUAUGACAAAAAAAGGGAAAAUAUUUUAGAAUAAUUGAGGGUGAUGUAAUUUGAAAAAUCAUUUUAUCUGGGGUUUGUGAUUUCAAAUUAUUUGAAUUUUUACAAGUUAUACACAACCUGUGAUUCUGUGGAAAAUAUCUUAAAUAGAAAAUAGAAACCUGUUGUUUUUUCUUAUUGAACACAAAACACAUUUCGAAACAUGCCCUCCUCUCAGCAAUCUUACUUUAGAUACUCAGAAAUCAAGGCCAACCAGAGAAAAAGUUCCAUUAAGUUUGGACUCUCUUUCCACAAAACGUUUGAUUUUUCAGUUAACACACAAUUUACAUUAAUAUAUAUUAAAACGAUCCUCCUCCCUCUGGCUGUUUGCCACCUCUCUUUCCGUAGGAUCUGCCUGUGCUUUGGAGGAGCUUGCUUCAUGAAGAGAGGAGGAAGGAUGGCAGAGGCCAAAAAUAUACUUAACUUAAGAUCUGGCUUCCCCAGCAGCUCAGUUCUAAGUUCCAAAUUCAAAAACUUCCCUUGAAGGGAAAACUAUAUGUAUUGCUAGCAUGGUAUCUAGCUGCUUACCGAAAGGUUGGCCAAGUUUCGCAAAUCCUCAAAUGCAUGCAUUGUUUCGGCAUCGAACCCUCCUGCAAACUGUAGCCGUGAAAGGCAAAACACAAUCAGCAAACAAUCUUUGUGUUUUCCUGAAGAAAAAUGCAGUGAACGAAGG